ACAAAGCAUAUGCAGAAGAUUUCAAAACUCGUUUAUUGUGAAAUAGAGAGUGUGAGAUACACUGGAUGCAGAGAAGGUCAAAACUGAAUUGGAAGAUUUUAUCCAGUUCUGGCUUCUACAAGUGAGGGGGAGUAAAGACAACCCGUGGAAGGUAAAGUGAUAAGACCCAAAGAUGCCAAGAGGCUGGAGAGGGAAGCCUGGGAGGAAAUACUAAUGGGAUUGUGAUUAGAAAGCCUGGAGAGGAGUUGGGCCAUAAAAAUACUAUAGCCAUGAAAAGAGUUGAGAUUCCAUGUGCAGCAGGAAGGCAGCCUUUAGGGCCCAGAGGGCCAGGCCAGACCAAGAGGUGCUGGGAUGGAGCCCUGCUUCUUCCUCUGGGGUCUUUAAUUCUGCUCCUCUGAGGUGAAGAAGUCCCUUCCCACACAUCCGUCUUUCCCUUCCCUUUCUUUUCUGUUUUCCCUUCCCCCUUUACUCCAGCAUGUCUUGGUGGAAAUAUUGUAAGAUUUGCAGCCAGAAGUUCUGAAUGUGAGGUUUCAGCAGGUCAUUGCUAGAUGUAUGAACUUAAGCCAGUUCUCUUGAGUUUCAUUUUUAGAAAAAAAUGAAUACAUGUUUUCUAAUUUGUACAAGGAGGAUAAUAAUACCUGGCUUAUAGGGUUUCUGAGAGGGUAAAAUAAAAUAACAGAUAAAACAACUUCUUUGUAACAUGUAGAGUAAAUAUGGAUGUGAGUUUUAAUGUAAUCAAUGGAUUUCCUCAGUCUUUACCUCUUUCCUCUCUCCCUUGGAAUUCCAAGUAGCAGAUGCUGGAAAAUAUAGAUAGCAAAGUCUCACCUUUCUUUCUAAGGUAGCUUCUUUUUUUUUGAGUCGGAGUCUCCCUCUUUCGCCCAGGCUGGAGUGCAGUGGCGCCAUCUCGGCUCACCGCAAGCUCCGCCUCCCGGGUUCACGCCAUUCUCCUGCCUCAGCCUCCAGAGUAGCUGGGACUACAGGCGCCCGCCACCAAGCCCGGCUAAUUUUUUGGAUUUUUAGUAGAGAUGGGGUUUCACCGUGUUAGCCAGGAUGAUCUCCAUCUCCCGACCUCGUGAUCUGCCUGCCUCGGCCUCCCAAAGUGCUGGGAUUACAGGCGUGAUCCACCGCGCCCGGCCUAAGGUAGCUUCUUAUCUCUAAGAAAAAGGCUUCAUGGUUGGGGACUGGAUCGUAGGCUCUGCUAGGCUUCAUGCCAGUCUUAAGAUUUCGUGACAAAUAAGCCUUCACAUAUUUCCACUGUGGGGUUGUUUAUUGCUUUUUUUCACAGUCCAGAGCAGCCAUUAUCCUCUUCUAACUCUAUACUGUGAGACUCUGGAAAUUUUUAA
rnacentral:lncRNA from 1 species